AUUGAACGCUAGCGGGAUGCCUUACACAUGCAAGUCGAACGGCAGCACGGACUUCGGUCUGGUGGCGAGCGGCGAACGGGUGAGUAAUGUAUCGGAACGUGCGUAGGAGCGGGGGAUAACUACGCGAAAGCGUAGCUAAUACCGCAUACGCCCUACGGGGGAAAGCAGGGGAUCGUGAGACCUUGCAGUAUUAGAUCAUCCGAUAUCGGAUUAGCUAGUUGGUGGGGUAACGGCUCACCAAGGCGACGAUCAGUAGCUGGUUUGAGAGGACGACCAGCCACACUGGGACUGAGACACGGCCCAGACUCCUACGGGAGGCAGCAGUGGGGAAUUUUGGACAAUGGGGGAAACCCUGAUCCAGCCAUCCCGCGUGUGCGAUGAAGGCCUUCGGGUUGUAAAGCACUUUUGGCAGGAAAGAAACGUUCCUGGUUAAUACCCAGGGAAACUGACGGUACCUGCAGAAUAAGCACCGGCUAACUACGUGCCAGCCGCCGCCGUAA
rnacentral:rRNA from 1 species